rnacentral:sRNA from 1 species
AUAAGAAAUGAACAAAUGACUUUUGCACACAGACCUUACUGGGCAGAGCUGUUUCGUUGUGAUCAUGAAGCCACUCCUUUGUUUUGCCUGCUUGUGUUCCUGCCAGGUAACGAUGACUCGGACAUAGACAUCCAGGAGGACGAUGAAUCCGACAGUGAGUUGGAAGAAAGGCGGCUGCCCAAGCCACAGACAGCCAUGGAGAUGCUCAUGCAAGGAAGACCUGGCAAACGCAUUGUGGGCACGAUGCAAGGUGGAGACUCCGAUGACAAUGUAAGUCCCCCGCUCCCCCCAGUGGUUCUGUGCACUCUGGGUUUGGCUGUCCCCAUAGAUGGGAGUGGCUGAGUUGCUGUCAGCAGCCAGGGAGCCGUCUAUGGUCAGCCCGGCCGUGCCUCGAUGCAUGGCAGGGUUUGGCCUCAUGAGGCUCUGGACUCUUCCUUGCUCGUGGAUGGCUCAUCUCUUUUCAAGUGAAUGUGCUUGCUCUGCUUUUUUCGCCUUCUCACUGUUAUUUCCAUUCUCGCUUUCCAAAGAUGGAAGCAGCAC